AUUACCUGGACCAAUAGGUGCUCCAGGACAAAAAGGAGAUAAAGGUGAAAAAGGUCCAACUGGUGUGCAAGGGUGUGGACUUCCUGGAGCAGAUGGAGUACAAGGACCUAGAGGAUACCCUGGGUAUCCGGGAAUUGCUGAAGAUGGAGAACCAGGC